rnacentral:rRNA from 1 species
UAAUACGUAGGUGGCAAGCGUUGUCCGGAUUUACUGGGCGUAAAGCGUGUGUAGGCGGACGCUUAAGUAGAAAGUGAAAGGUUGGUGCUCAACACCAACAUUGCUUUCUAUACUGGGUGUCUUGAGUGCCGGAGAGGAAGAUGGAACUGCACGUGUAGCGGUGAAAUGCGUUGAGAUGUGCAGGAACACCAAUGGCGAAGGCAAUCUUCUAGACGGAAACUGACGCUGAGACACGAAAGCCAAGGGAGCGAACAGGAUUAGAUACCCUGGUAGUCUUGGCCCUAAACUAUGUUCACUAGGUGUUGGGGGUUUCCCUCAGUGCCGCAGCUAACGCAUUAAGUGAACCGCCUGGGGACUACGGCCGCAAGGUUG